rnacentral:rRNA from 1 species
GACGAACGCUGGCGGCGUGCCUAAUACAUGCAAGUUGAGCGCUGAAGGUUGGUACUUGUACCAACUGGAUGAGCAGCGAACGGGUGAGUAACGCGUGGGGAAUCUGCCUUUGAGCGGGGGACAACAUUUGGAAACGAAUGCUAAUACCGCAUAAAAACUUUAAACACAAGUUUUAAGUUUGAAAGAUGCAAUUGCAUCACUCAAAGAUGAUCCCGCGUUGUAUUAGCUAGUUGGUGAGGUAAAGGCUCACCAAGGCGAUGAUACAUAGCCGACCUGAGAAGGUGGUCGGCCCCAUUUGGACUUGGGCCCGGCCCAACCUCCCUCGGGGAGCAGCAGUAGGGGAUCUUCGGCCAUGGACGAAAGUCUGGCCGAGCAACGCCGCGGGAGGGGAGAAGGUUUUCGGGUCGUAAAACUCUGUUGGUAGAGAAGAACGUUGGUGAGGGUGGAAAGCUCAUCAAGUGACGGUACCUACCCAGAAAGGGACGGCUAACUACGUG